CCCAAAUUAAACCAAGGGAACAGAUCCCAUAACAGAAUCAGGAGCUCUCAGAACUAGAGCCAGUAAAAAAGAAGAAAGUAAAAUACAAAAUAUGGGAAUUUUCUUGCUCAGGAACUGGACCUUCUAAACCAGAUUUGGUCGAUGAUAACAUGGUGACAGGUGUCAGCUUUCAGCCUCAGUUUCCCCCGCUGAACUGCCAUGACGUGACCCCUGUUGAUUAAAGAAGUUUCCUGCAAUGACUACUAACAGCAGUACUUGUACUGAGGAAAUUUUCUGCUGUUUCCUAUUUACAUGUUUUCAGAGGGACAUUGACCUUUCACAAUCACAAAUGCAUGAUAGCCAAAAGCAGAUGAUCCUUAAUUUUGUAAAACAUUUCUGCCUGUUAGACUGACAGAUAAGUAAUGAGAAAAUGCAUAACUGAAAGUUUCUCUUCACUCCUGAUGACUGCAUGUAAAUUGCACCCAUGCAGAGAGAAAGUGGGGGGUCUCAGCUAAAGAGAACAAGUUUCCUGUUAUCAAGGACAUCUGUUCCUGACAUUCCUGCUAUUUUAUUCCUAUUUCUUCCGGUUCGAUCACUUCCA